GGCGGCGGGGCGCGGUGGGCUCCAUGGCGGCGGCGGGGUCAGAGGACCGCGGGGUCUGAGUCUCUCAUCCGCAGCAAGCACUGUCUGUUGUCAAGUGAAAACAAACUGCAUAAAUCAGGCAUAUCGCUCUGUGCAUUUACUUCGAAUACAUAAAAAGAAAAUAUCCAUCACUAUGAGAAGCUAUGUUUUGCUGAGGGCCUGAGGCUCACACCUGUAAUCUUCACUACUCAGGAGGCUGAAAUCUGCAGAUCAUAGAUGGAAGCUAGCCCUGGAAGGAAAAGUCAUUGCUACCAAAAUAAAACAUGCAUGAGUAUAGGGGAGAAAGUGGCGAUCUGGGACACACCUGGUAGAAGAUGCAACCACAGCAAUAUUUUUCCAAAGGUCAUUUGAGAUGGUGCCGUGGCGAUCUUCUUCAGCAACUGUCUGCAGUGUGGAUAUGUUCAGAACAUCUGCCUGUCUGCCAAUAGGCACUGAACCCAACCACAGGAAGCCAGGAUCUCUGAGACGAGGAGCCCACGUUUCAUAAUGUCUCACACUGCCAAGAACCUGUGCAACUCUACUCCUCUCUCCUGAUUUUGAAUCAACUAUAUCCAAAAAAACCCACAUACUAUUUAAA